GGGCCUGCUGCAGUCCCCAGAGACCCGCACUGGGGCGCUACUGGCCGUGUCCUCCAUGGUCCAUACGCUGUGCCUGAGAAUGACAUCGCCUUGCAGCCUGUUGCCCCAGGUCCAGCAGCUGCUGAAGGUUCUCAAGGAGAUGUUGGAGGAACUCUGUGGGGAAGGAGAUGGGUCACAACUCACUGAGAAGCUCCACGUGCUGAAAGCCGUGGGGAACGCCGGCCUGGCUGCUGCCACCCUCAUCCCUGAGCUUGAGGUGUGUGCCCAGAGCCAAUACACUCCUAUGGAGCUUCGCCUCGCCGCCAUCCAGGCCUUCAGGCGAAUCCCCUGCACAGCAGACAGACGAGCGCUUCUGCAGCUGUACUGCUCCCCUCGGGAGGACGUUGAGGUCCGCAUCGCCGCC
rnacentral:lncRNA from 1 species